AUUGAACGCUGGCGGAAUGCUUUACACAUGCAAGUCGAACGGUAGAGGGGCAACCCUUGAGAGUGGCGAACGGGUGAGUAAUGUAUCGGAACAUGCCCAGUCGUGGGGGAUAACGUAGCGAAAGUUACGCUAAUACCGCAUACGAUCUAUGGAUGAAAGCGGGGGAUCGCAAGACCUCGCGCGAUUGGAGUGGCCGAUAUCAGAUUAGGUAGUUGGUGGGGUAAAGGCCUACCAAGCCGACGAUCUGUAGCUGGUCUGAGAGGACGACCAGCCCCACUGGGACUGAGACACGGCCCAGACUCCUAUGGGAGUCAGCAGUGGGGAAUUUUGGACAAUGGGCGAAAGCCUGAUCCAGCCAUUCCGCGUGCAGGAAGAAGGCCUUCGGGUUGUAAACUGCUUUUGUACGGAACGAAACGCGCUGUGCUAAUACCACGGCGUAAUGACGGUACCGUAAGAAUAAGCACCGGCUAACUACGUGCCAGCCGCCGCCGUAA
rnacentral:rRNA from 1 species